rnacentral:sRNA from 1 species
ACGUUCCUUCUUCUCAUCAGUUUCUCACAAAAUGACAGAGAUGCCGGGGUGUAGGAAGAAGCCUCUCACCCCGGGGGUUGGACACGAUGCUGAGGUUUAUUUCAUUUUCUAGGUGAUGUGAAAGUUGAAGAAAAAGGUCAAGGCUGAAUACUGUGGAAAUAUAAUUGAGAUAUCACUCAUUUAACCAGUAAAAAAGCAGGAUUUUAUAUGAUGGAUGAGCACGAGCAAAAUUUGUUCAGAAUUCGCUGGCAGCUAUCGUAUGAAGAAUGUGCCAUGAGAGACAACUCAGAUAUCUUUGUUACAAUAGUUUUUCUGAAAUAUGUAGUGUGUUUUUACAAAAGAAAUGAAGAAGUUACUUUCUCCAUUUUUGUGUGAAAAAAAUGAUACAUUAAUAGUAUAAUAUUACUCGACCGAAUUCAAAACAAGUACCUAAUUCAUUUCAGUUUUUCAUUAAAAAAAGAAGACAAUAGAUGAUUUAUAUUUAUAUAAAAAAAAACACAAAUAUAUCGAAUGUUGGCAAGAAAAAUUUAUAAAGUGAAAACAUUUGCACCAUCUUUAGUCCAUCCUCUUCUUUCAUCCUUUAUAGCCGAAUAAUAAAUUGUUUCUUUUAAAAAAAGCAAGAUCCGUCAUUUCUCGACUGAACUCAGUGUAAUUACACUUUGCAUAUGUGAAUUGUUUCUAAAGAAUCUGUGUUUAUAUUUCAUUUGCAGAUACUUUUUUACAUUCAUUUUGCUGAUGUUUUUUUGUUUGGAUGUUUAAAUUAAAUGUAAUAUAAACUUUUUUAGU